AUUGAACGCUGGCGGCAGGCUUAACACAUGCAAGUCGAGCGGGGUGAUGGUGCUUGCACUAUCACUUAGCGGCGGACGGGUGAGUAAUGCUUAGGAAUCUGCCUAUUAGUGGGGGACAACAUCUCGAAAGGGAUGCUAAUACCGCAUACGUCCUACGGGAGAAAGCAGGGGAUCACUUGUGACCUUGCGCUAAUAGAUGAGCCUAAGUCGGAUUAGCGAGUUGGUGGGGUAAAGGCCUACCAAGGCGACGAUCUGUAGCGGGUCUGAGAGGAUGAUCCGCCACACUGGGACUGAGACACGGCCCAGACUCUUACGGGAGGCAGCAGUGGGGAAUAUUGGACAAUGGGGGGAACCCUGAUCCAGCCAUGCCGCGUGUGUGAAGAAGGCCUUAUGGUUGUAAAGCACUUUAAGCGAGGAGGAGGCUCUUUUGGUUAAUACCCAAGAUGAGUGGACGUUACUCGCAGAAUAAGCACCGGCUAACUCUGUGCCAGCCGCCGCGGUAA
rnacentral:rRNA from 1 species